rnacentral:misc_RNA from 1 species
AAUUCUCAACUUCAUCAGUUUUGUUAUGAGACUGUGUGAAGCUUGGAUGUGGGGGUUUGUGCAGAGCGCGUAAAAGCAACCUGCUCCCCUUAAAUAAAUUAGCGAGUUCAAACUGGGCUCCGUCUAUUGGUGUGAUAAUUAUCUACGCCGUGGAUUGGGCUUAGACUUGCUUCUAAUCGUCCGCAAGGACAAUCUUUUGACA